rnacentral:rRNA from 1 species
UGGGGAAUUUUGGACAAUGGGCGAAAGCCUGAUCCAGCAAUGCCGCGUGUGUGAAGAAGGCCUUCGGGUUGUAAAGCACUUUUGUCCGGAAAGAAAUCCUUGGCUCUAAUACAGUCGGGGGAUGACGGUACCGGAAGAAUAAGCACCGGCUAACUACGUGCCAGCAGCCGCGGUAAUACGUAGGGUGCCAGCGUUAAUCGGAAUUACUGGGCGUAAAGCGUGCGCAGGCGGUUUGCUAAGACCGAUGUGAAAUCCCCGGGCUCAACCUGGGAACUGCAUUGGUGACUGGCAGGCUAGAGUAUGGCAGAGGGGGGUAGAAUUCCACGUGUAGCAGUGAAAUGCGUAGAGAUGUGGAGGAAUACCGAUGGCGAAGGCAGCCCCCUGGGCCAAUACUGACGCUCAUGCACGAAAGCGUGGGGAGCAAACAGGAUUAGAUACCCUGGUAGUCCACGCCCUAAACGAUGUCAACUAGUUGUUGGGGAUUCAUUUCCUUAGUAACGUAGCUAACGCGUGAAGUUGACCGCCUGGGGAGUACGGUCGCAAGAUUAAAACUCAAAUGAAUUGACGGGGUCAUA